CUGGAGGAGAAAGAUUCUCAGUGCCGAGGCAUCAUAUGAGAAUCUUUUGUUGUGGAGUCUAUGGCCAGCCCUAUUCCAAAGCACAGAGUCGUAGAAACCAACUGUGGGAGGAAAAGAGAGCAUUCAGAAUAUAUUAGCUGAAAGGCUUCCUUCUUCACCUCUCUCUUCGGCUCUGGCAGACAAAAUGCUGUCAGCAUCUGGGUGCCCACAUAAACAGCUGUCUACAUGAAACAAGGCAGGAGGCCCAUAUCAAGUAAUGAAGAUGGAAUGCAUUAAUUACAUCAUGGAAUGACAGUCACCAUCAUUUUGUUGUUUACUAUCUCUGCUAACUUUUCAUGAGAAUUACUAUCUCUGCUAAAUUGCCAUGAGAAGUUCAAAGGUCAAAGAGUCAGGUUCUUGAGAUCAGAGACACCUUGGUUUCACAAAGGAGAUUCUCAAUGAUGUUUCUGGAAGACAGCCAGUCAGUAUGAAGAAGAAGAUCCAGGGUUCCAUCUCCUCACUGAACCCCUCCAGGAUAUUGUGACUAGAAGAACCUCUCCCCUUCUUCUCGGGCUCCCUGCCAGUCUUGCUCUGCAUGUGUGGCACAGGGCACUUUAAAAUGAAUCUAUAGAUUUCUCCAAAAGGGAAAAAUCUUUAAUGCUGGACAACAGGUGAUGGGGCAACUGGAGAAACAGUCAUUUCUUACGAAAGUGAAUUUCCAGGCAGCUGAUCCCACCGUGGAGCAGGUUGUAUUUAUCCUUGAAAUGUCAUCCUUCUUUAGUCUGUAAAUAUCAUACUAUAGAAAACACCUUAGCACUGGCUUUCGAAGGAGACAGAGACAAUGUUGUAUGGCAGUUUACUGUCAACUAAAGGACAAUGCUUCUCUCUUGGAUUUAAUAAAAUGGGAAGGGGGCUGGGCUACU